ACGCUGGCGGCAGGCCUAACACAUGCAAGUCGAGCGGUAGAGAGAAGCUUGCUUCUCUUGAGAGCGGCGGACGGGUGAGUAAUGCCUAGGAAUCUGCCUGGUAGUGGGGGAUAACGUCCGGAAACGGACGCUAAUACCGCAUACGUCCUACGGGAGAAAGCAGGGGACCUUCGGGCCUUGCGCUAUCAGAUGAGCCUAGGUCGGAUUAGCUAGUUGGUGGGGUAAUGGCUCACCAAGGCGACGAUCCGUAACUGGUCUGAGAGGAUGAUCAGUCACACUGGAACUGAGACACGGUCCAGACUCCUACGGGAGGCAGCAGUGGGGAAUAUUGGACAAUGGGCGAAAGCCUGAUCCAGCCAUGCCGCGUGUGUGAAGAGGGUCUUCGGAUUGUAAAGCACUUUAAGUUGGGAGGAAGGGCAGUAAAUUAAUACUUUGCUGUUUUGACGUUACCGACAGAAUAAGCACCGGCUAACUCUGUGCCAGCAGCCGCGGUAAUACAGAGGGUGCAAGCGUUAAUCGGAAUUACUGGGCGUAAAGCGCGCGUAGGUGGUUCGUUAAGUUGGAUGUGAAAUCCCCGGGCUCAACCUGGGAACUGCAUUCAAAACUGACGAGCUAGAGUAUGGUAGAGGGUGGUGGAAUUUCCUGUGUAGCGGUGAAAUGCGUAGAUAUAGGAAGGAACACCAGUGGCGAAGGCGACCACCUGGACUGAUACUGACACUGAGGUGCGAAAGCGUGGGGAGCAAAC
rnacentral:rRNA from 1 species